ACUCAGAUAGACGGUGCUCUAAAUAAUUAUCAUUGUAUGUCACUCAUUUGUUCUUUCCAGCGAUUGCCUUGUUCAUCCUUAUCCUUGGUGCUGGGCUAGACGCAAGAUGUGCGGAAACUCCUAAGACAGGCCUGCCCUCAAGGCACUCGCAGACCGCAGGGAGACAGGAAUAACAAGCUCUGUGAUAAGCCCUGGCCAAGCCCCACCCAGGAGAUAUGCCAUGGAAACGGGAUGCCUGGGUGGCAGGGAUCUUUGAAUGGUUGACCCCAUAUUACGUCUACCUGCCUGAUGAAGGAAAGCCAAAAGCAAGCUGGAGAGGCCCACAUAGAAAGAAGCUGUGGGCCACCAUCCGCCAUGGCCAGCAAGGAACUGAGAGCCUCAGUCCAGCAGCUGGGGAAGAACUGAGUCCUGCCAAUAACCACAGAGUGAACUUGGCAACAGAUCUUGACCCAGCUGAGCCUUCAGGCUGGAGCACUUAAUGGGCGGUGCAAAUGCCUUGAUGCUUUGUCGUCCUGCCAUGGUGACAAUGGAAGAGCCACCAGACUGGAGGAGCUGAGGACACUGAGCUAUCAUAUGGGGACAGCUGCCCUGGAGAGCCGCCCAGACUCACAGCUGACUUUGUGUGAGUGAUAAAUAAAUCCUGGUCAUAUUAA